CGCGUGAGGAACCUGCCUUGGAGAGGGGAAUAACACUCCGAAAGGAGUGCUAAUACCGCAUGAUGCAGUUGAGUCGCAUGGCUCUGACUGCCAAAGAUUUAUCGCUCUGAGAUGGCCUCGCGUCUGAUUAGCUAGUAGGCGGGGUAACGGCCCACCUAGGCGACGAUCAGUAGCCGGACUGAGAGGUUGACCGGCCACAUUGGGACUGAGACACGGCCCAGACUCCUACGGGAGGCAGCAUG
rnacentral:rRNA from 1 species